GAUGAGUAUGUAAACAUCGUGUCGCAGGAAAAUCCCAACCCUAGCCGCCUGCCCUCGUUGGAGAAGAAGGACCAGCUGCUGGAAAAGGAGAUUGACCAUCAGCCGCUGCUACACCGAAGUCAACACUGACCGCCAAAAAGGUAAAAUUCUCUCAUACCCACUCGAAAUUCGAUUCUGAGUCUCCUCAUGGCCAUAUCAGAGUAAAAGGAGCGGUAGGUGAGCCAGAAACUACGAGCAAAUCACAGCGGAGCCGCUGCUACCUAAACCCUAAAACUCUUCCGAUAAGCCCCUUUCCGUUUCCCGUUUCACCAAUUUUUUUAUCAUUGUGUUCAUCAUCUUUUUAUGUGCAUAUUAGCCGAAGAAUAAACUCCAA
rnacentral:lncRNA from 1 species